GGCAUGGUGGCCAAUUGGUAAGGCGUCUGUCUCGUAAACCGAAGACCAUGGGUUCAAAUCCCAUCCGUGCCU